GCACAUUACGAUACCACCCUGAACCCCCGAUCUCGUCCGAUCUCGGAAGCUAAGCAGGGUCGGGCCUGGUUAGUACUUGGAUGGGAGACCGCCUGGGAAUACCAGGUGCUGUAAGCU
rnacentral:rRNA from 1 species